GCGAACUCUAUAAAAGAGGCCAGCCACCAAUGUCAAUUAAUUUUUGAGCAUAGAUAGCCAGAUUUCAGGGGAGGCCCCUUGCUCGAUGGCAGCAAGUGCUUGAGUUAUCACAACCUUGUCACGUGUUUGUUGGGUUCUGAGCUUGCAAACCAACCAGAGCAUGUCCACAAGUCCACAGCAGGUGGCAACGCCAAAUAAACCUACCCCCACCCAUUCCUUAAAAUAAGAAAAGGCAGAUGAAAUCCAGGAGGAGAGGCCCUCUGUCAAUGACAGGUCCACUCGUGUCGAGUUGAUCUUUAGAACGGCCGCUCUCAGGGCCUCAAGGGUCUCAUCGAAUCUUUCAGACCAGUUUCCUGCAAGAUAUAAAGAAAGCUGUCUAGACAGAUUAGCUGCAUAAGUAAAAUUUUCAUAUUGGACACUGGUAAUGCACAGAGCUUCCAGUUUUCUUUCACAACCCAACUGGGCCAUCUGGUAUAGAACACCUAUCUGUUCCUCCGCCAGGUUAAGGCGCUGAUUCAAAAUCAUCAGCCCUCCCUUUAACUUGGUACUAGCAGAAGUUUGGACAGUGAUGGCAUCAGCCAGAUCUUCUGAAAGCUGAUUUAAUUUUGUGCCUGAUUGAACCGCACUAACCAUAGCGUACCCUGCAGCUGUAGCAGCAGCUGCACUGGCUGAAAUUGCUAUGAUCACGGCAGUAGUAAUGCCAAAAUCUCUCUUUUGUCGAAACAUAGAUAAGGUGGAGGGUGUUUCCACUGGAACAGGGAUCCAACGUGGGAUCCGUGCCACCAUGGCACGGGUGUUCUUUGUUACAUCCCAACAUUGAGAAAUCCAACAAGAAUCAUUGGAACAGACUUCAAAUGAAUCAUUUGAAAGAAUAAACAAGAAAGGGGGGUAAACACAGACUGGGGUAGAUGGAUAAUUAAUCUGGUUUACCAAAGUUUUAUUGAACCCAGUGAUCUCUACACUGGUAUUAGUAUAUCCAUAAGAGUCCUGGGAGGCAUCAUGUAUUCCCCAAUACUGAGCAAAUCUUGAGAUGCCAGUAAAAGAAGCCUUUCCAACUGCUCCUCCCUGGAUAAAAAUCAAAGGAUUGAGUUCUGUACAACUGCCAUUGACUUCACAAAGCACCCACUUGUGAAAGGGAUGCAUUCUAAAGUCCUGUAUGAAAAGUCCCUUUUUCAUAACAAAUUCCUUCUCUGGGUCAUCUAUCAUGUUGGGAGAAAAGGAAAAGGUUUUACUCUGAUCUGCCCAACGAGUGAUGGAGGAUUGACAAUCAGACCAAGGCAGGAUCAGCCCUUCAUCUUCCAAACUACAAUGAGGGGCUAUUUUUGGUUGGUGUGGAUGUUCUUUGUCUGAAAAGUUAGGUGGUAGAAAUGUACCAUUAACCCAAUUUACCUCGUGCCAAAAGGUUCGAUUUGUAAAGGUUAUCUCUACAUUGGAAGUAUCUUGGGUUGUGCUCACCCAACCUCCUCGAUGCUCAUUAAACUUCCCCAAAGCUUGGGCUGUGAGGUUGAUACAAUUUCCUGGUCCAUUAAUUUGAAAACAUAAAGAACCCUGGUCUAGUAAAGAGCGAUUUUCUCCUAAUGGUGCUCGGGUGGGAUCAUAGGGUAAAUAUGGCAAAUCCACUGUUUUAUUAGUAGUAAAUAAUUUUGGAAAAACUAUAGCAUCAUGGCAAACUGGCAUUGGUUUAGGGAAAGUUGAGAGAAUAGCCCAUCUCUGCUCGCCCAUUAUACUAGGAACCUGAGACAAGUUCAGCAUUGUCAGGAUCAGGAACAGUCUUCGGGAGGUCAGCAUCUUCUGCACCAUCCUUGAUGAAUGUCCUGCGGGUGAGUCGUUCUGGCAGCCAAAAUGGGUUGUCUUCACUCUGUGGAAAAACACAAACAGCUCCCCAGGAUCUGAUUAAGAUAGGAUCCGGGCCUUUCCACUGACCAGUUAAAACAUCCUUCCAUUUGACCAUUUCUUUUGGUCUAUCAGGGUCUGAGCUAUGUCGCUCAGCUGCAGAGUGUCCCUGCUCGUCGAGAUUCAAAAAAUUAAGUGUAAAGAGUGCCAUAGAUACCGCUACUCUUGGCACUGAGGGCAGAGUCUCAUCAACUCCCCUUUCUGUUUUAUAAGAUAAGAUUUGAGUGUGCGGUGGGCAUGUUCCACAAUGCCUUGUCCUUGAGGAUUAUAAGGAAGUCUCACUCAUGGUUCCAGAUGCCCUAGAACUAGUCUCACUCAUGGUUCCAGAUCCCCUAGAACUAGUCUCACUCAUGGUUCCAGAUCCCCUAGAACUAGUCUCACUCAUGGUUCCAGAUCCCCUAGAACUAGUCUCACUCAUGGUUCCAGAUCCCCUAGAACUAGUCUCACUCAUGGUUCCAGAUGCCUUAGAACUAGUCUCACUCAUGGUUCCAGAUCCCCUAGAACUAGUCUCACUCAUGGUUCCAGAUGCCCUAGAACUAGUCUCACUCAUGGUUCCAGAUCCCCUAGAACUAGUCUCACUCAUGGUUCCAGAUCCCCUAGAACUAGUCUCACUCAUGGUUCCAGAUGCCCUAGAACUAGUCUCACUCAUGGUUUUAAGCUACCAUGUGAGUGUGAGGAACCUAACCUGGGGCCUCUGCAGGAACAAGUGCUCUUAGCCACUGAGCUAUCUCUGGUACCAGUGGGUCCAGCUUUUUGACGUGUUGACAUCUAAUUGUUAUCUAAAAGGUUACACUGGAGAAGUAGGGGUUUAAGUAAAUAAUCAUAGCAAUUGCAAAAGUGCCCUCCCCUAAAAAAAUUGCCUUAUUUUUUAAGUAAGUUUAUGAUUUUUACACUGAUCUGCAUUUAUAGUUAUUCUAGAGUGCAUGUAGCUGUAGGUUAGACACACAUGAUACAUAUUCUUUUACAUGUAAGAGUAUUCUCUAUUUAACAUCAUUGUAAGAAUAAUCCCCAUUCUUGCACGUGGCUAUAACUUAUAAAUUCUUGUCAUAUAAAAUUCUAUUGUGUCACUGCAAGGAGACCUGCUCACUGUACUUGUGAUGGUCAUUUGCUUAUUUCUGGGUUUCAAGGUCUUACCAGUAGUAAUUCUUACACAAACACAUAGAUAAUUUUUCUUAUGUUCAUCUCUUAAAAAAGAGUUAGUGGAUCAUAAGAGAUACAUAUAUUCUUCUUUGGUAGGUGCUAUUUGUAUGGCUCGCUAGGGUAUCAUAAAAAAUACCACUACUAAAGCAAUUAACAAAAAUGUGCGAGGUUAGAAAACCUCACUUCUAGAGGUUAGUAGGGUUUAGCCAAGUUGAUGUUUUCUAAGGGCUGUAAAGAAAGGAUCUAUUGCAGGCCUGUUUUAACCUUUUCCCUGUUUUUCAUUUUUGUUUAAUUUAUUUUUUGUUGUUGUUUGUCUUGUUUUGUUUUGUUUUGUUUUGUUUUUGAAACAGGGUUUCUCUGUAUAGCCCUGGCUGUCCUGGAACUCACUUUGUAGACCAGGCUGGCCUCGAACUCAGAAAUCCUCCUGCCUCUGCCUCCCAAGUGCUGGGAUUAAAGGUGUGUGCCACCACCGCCCGGCUUUUCCCUAUUUUUUAAAACUGUUUUGUUUGUUUGUUUUUAUUUUUUGUCUGUGGGUGUACUCACUCUGGCACACAUAUGCAGGUCAAAAAACAGCUUAUGGGAACCGGUUCUCUCCCUCCAGCACAUCAGUCCUAGGGGUCAAACACAGAUCAUCAGGUGUUCAAAUUUUUCUCACUGUAGCUUCCCACUCUACCAUCCUAAUGAUGCUUCCUGAUUGGCAUAAACUUAUUUUUGUAAAAUUGCAUGUAUUAUUUUAUUUUAUUGUGUAUCAGUGUACAUAUGUAGACAUCAGAGGACACCUUCUGAGAAUCUGUUCUCUCCUUAUGCCAUGUGGAACCUGGGUAUCAAACUCAGGUCAGGCUUGGCAGAGCCUGCUUUUUUACCCAUUUAUCUGUCUCUUAGCUCACUUUUCUCUCCCCCUUUUCUAAAAUUUAAAUUUUUUAUUUUUAUAUUUUACUCUUUCUCAGUCUGUGUGUGUGUGUACAUGCCAUUGGUCAUGUGUAGAGAUCAGAGGACAAUGUUCCAGGAGUUGUUUCUAAAGUGGGUCCUAAGGAUAAAACUCAGGUUUCUCGGCGUGGUUACCCACAGAGCCAUAUCUCUAAAAUCCAAUUUUGUAUUUUAGUACCAUUUUAAGUUAUUUUCACCAGUUUUUAUGGUUGGCUUUUUUUUUUUUUAAUUUGGCACAUCUUUUUAGAAAUCUGCUCCUGCUGCCCAUUAAUAACAAGAAUAGUCCAUGGGCCGGCCGACUUGGCUGCCAGUAAUGAUGAGGAUUGCCUGUGGGCUGCCCAUCUUAGCUUUAAAAGUAUUCUAUUAGUGAGAAUAAGAGCAUACUUAAGGGAACCCAAAUUGUACAGAAACAAUAUAGCACUUGCUCUUUGGAGAGCAGAAAAUGGGUAGCACAGUGCACUAUGAUUCCAAAGACCAGAGAAGGUAAGUCAUGGUAGACGUCCUGGGGACCAGGCGCCCUGUCCCAGGCUAGACACAAUGGAACCACCUCCAGUGAAAAGGAGGUUUUGCUUGUCAUUUCUUCUAAAAUAUUGAUUUCGUUUAUCACAUCAAUUACAUUUGUAGUUCACUUAGAAUAAUUUUAUUCUUGGUAUAAAGUAAAGGUCACAAUGAUUUUUCAAUUUACUUUUAUAUGUGCAUGCCCAAUUAAUCUUUCUCCAUUUAAUGAAAGUCUGAGUUAGUCCACUGGUGUGUACUGACAUCAUUAUCAUACAUCAGGCUGCUCUUUCUAGGUGAGCGCUGUCUAAGGGAAUGUUCUGCCAGGACGGAGAUGCUCUGUAUAGAGACAGUUUCUGUCAGUACCCACUUUAGCAAUCCAUAGUUGUUGAGCUCUACAAGUGUAGCUAAUAUAUG
rnacentral:lncRNA from 1 species